rnacentral:snRNA from 14 species
AUGCCCGCUUCGGCAGCACCUGGACUAACAUUGGAAUGGUACAGAGAAGAUUAGCAUGGCCCCUGCGCAAGGAUGACACGCAAAUUUGUAAAGCGUUCCAUGUUUUG